rnacentral:rRNA from 1 species
UACGUGAGGGGCGAACGUUGUUCGGUGUCACUGGGCUUAAAGGGUGCGUAGGUGGUUGUGUAAGUAACGUGUGAAAUCCCUCGGCUUACCCGGGGAAUUGCAUGUUAUACUGCAUGACUUGAGGGCUAAAGGGGAAAAGGGAACUCCAGGUGUAGCGGUGAAAUGCGCAGAUAUCAGGAGGAACACCGAUGGCGAAGGCAGGUCUCUGGGCCACUACUGACGCUGAGAAGCGAAAGCAUGGGGAGCGAACAGG